AGCAGGAGUGAGUUUAUGACACCAUCUGCAUUUAUCUUUCUAUAUGAGAACCAGUUAUUCCUCACAUUUCGAAAUCGAACUGUCGCUGUGUGGAAUUUCCGUGGAGAGCUUGUCACUUCUUUUGAGGAUCACCUCUUGUGGCAUCCUGACUGCAAUACAAAUAACAUAUACAUAACUAGUGACCAGGAUCUCAUCAUAUCCUACUGCAAAGCUGAUUGUGAUGAUUCAGUGUCUGAAGGAAAUGCAGGUUCCAUCAAUGUCAGCAACAUUUUAACUGGCAAGUGUCUCGCCAAAAUACGAGCAAGUAACAGCCGCUACCCGAUUGAGAAGGAGUGCAGUUGCACUGACAAUUGUUCUGGUAGCAGUUGUAAUUCAAGGAAGCGAAAAUGUGUCUCCAGAAUUAGGAGCACAGUUGUUGAAGCCUUGGAAGACAUUACUGCCCUCUUUUACGAUGAAGAGCGCAAUGAGAUCUAUACAGGCAAUAGGCAUGGUCUAGUUCAUGUCUGGUCUAACUGAUGUGUGGGGUGAUGCCAGCCAGAUACAUGGUGAAGAUGCAAAAGCAAUUGAUAAUCAAAUACAAUAGUAGCUUUACGAUUUGCCAAGUACCAACCUUCUAAAUUUCUGUUACUCCAAUCUUUUAGUGGGUAUGAUAUCCUCUGUUAAAAAAUAUGUCAUUUCAUGUAUUACUACUUUGUGAACCGAAGCUUAGUUUCCAGUUUCACUAAAGCACAAUGCUAUUUGUAUACAAUUGUGCAAACUUAUAACAUUUGAUAGCUACUGGAAUUAGCAUAAUGCUACUUGUAUACAAUUGUUGUUUGGGUU
rnacentral:lncRNA from 1 species